CUUGGCCUUUACUGGGGGCUGUUUGGGAUUUUGUUGGCUUGUUUGCUUGGGUGUUUAUCUCCUCUACAUUUCUCGAGCGCAGUCCUACCAUCUCUUUUUCAUCUUUGUAUCCAUGUUACCUGGCAUGGAACAGAAGCUUAAUCAAUAUUUACCAGUUGCUAGGGGCAAUGCUGGUGAUAGUUAUAUGAAGUACAGCUAAGUGAUAGAACAUUCUCCUAGCCUUAGACAGUUGUGACAUUCUCUGGGAAAUUCCAGUCCAGAUCUUGGACCCUCUAGUCAGGCUAGUCAAGAGUGGGACAUCUCCUAGUGUCUUCUCUAAGAGAGAUGCACAAACCUUAUAGUUUAUAGAAAGGGCUCUGGAGCCAGAUGACCCAGACCAGAAUCCUGGCUCCACUUCAAGCUGCAUGAGCUUGAGUAUGGUUGAUACUUAUUGUCUGGAACCUCAUCAGAUACCAUGGCAGGAACUGUAAGCAACAAGCAUCCAAAAGGCUGAGGGGACCUAAAGCCAAGUUGGAGAUGCAACGUGAAUACCGGAUUAGAGCAGAGGGGAGGCUACAGAAGAAAGAAAGAAAGGAGGAAGGAAAGAGGAAGACAGAAAGAGAGAACGAAAGAAAAAGGAAGGAAGGAAGAAAACCAACCUGGAGAUAACUCAUAGCCUCAUAGCAAGCGCCAUAUGAGUCAUUUAAGAAAAAAAAAAAAAAGCCACCACAACCUUCAGCAGAAGAGAACCAUUGAGCUCAAGUUGGGGAAAAAAAUAUGUAUCUAUGUAUGUAUGUGUGUGUGUGUGUGUGUAUAUAUAUAUGUAUAUAUCUUUCCCAAUAGGAAUAAAGCUAAUUCUCCAAAACUUUGUAA